rnacentral:rRNA from 1 species
UAGGGAAUCUUCCGCAAUGGACGCAAGUCUGACGGAGCAACGCCGCGUGAGUGAAGAAGGAUUUCGGUUCGUAAAACUCUGUUGUUAGAGAAGAACAGCGCAUAGAGUAACUGUUAUGCGUGUGACGGUAUCUAACCAGAAAGCCACGGCUAACUACGUGCCAGCAGCCGCGGUAAUACGUAGGUGGCAAGCGUUGUCCGGAUUUAUUGGGCGUAAAGCGAGCGCAGGCGGUCAAUUAAGUCUGAUGUGAAAGCCCCCGGCUAAACCGGGGAGGGUCAUUGGAAACUGGUUGACUUGAGUGCAGAAGAGGAGAGUGGAAUUCAAUGUGUAGCGGUGAAAUGCGUAGAUAUAUGGAGGAACACCAGUGGCGAAGGCGACUCUCUGGUCUGUAACUGACGCUGAGGCUCGAAAGCGUGGGUAGCAAACAGG